ensembl:snRNA U6 U6 spliceosomal RNA
GAAACUUGGCCCCUUAGUUACAAAUGUCCAAUUUCUAAUGACACAGAGAUUAACAUGGCUCCUGCACAAAGAUGACCUACCAAUUCACGGAAUGUUCCAUAUUUUU